rnacentral:rRNA from 1 species
CCCUUAGAUGUUCUGGGCCGCACGCGCGCUACACUGACUGGUGCAACAAGUGUCGCUCCUUGGCCGAUAGGCCUGGGCAAUCUUUGAACGCCAGUCGUGAUGGGGAUAGAUUCUUGCAAUUUUUGAUCUUCAACGAGGAAUUCCUAGUAAACGCGAGUCAUCAACUCGCAUUGAUUACGUCCCUGCCCUUUGUACACACCGCCCGUCGCACCUACCGAUUGAAUGGUCCGGUGAAAUCUCGGGACGGCGGCUUGGUCGCUUGCGUCCGACUGCUGAAACUUGAUUAAACCAUAUCAUUUAGAGGAAGGUGAAGUCGUANCA